CAGCAUGUCGCGGUGAAUACGUUCCCGGGUCUUGUACACACCGCCCGUCACACCAUGGGAGUGGGUUUUACCAGAAGUAGUUAGCCUAACCGCAAGGAGGGCGAUUACCACGGUAGGUCUCAUGACUGGGGUGAAGUCGUAACAAGGUAGCCGUACCGGAAGGUGCGGCUGGAUCACCUCCUUUC
rnacentral:rRNA from 1 species